ACCAUGAUUCUAACAGAUUGUUAAAAUCAGUUACAACAGCUUAAGUUUAAACAUACAUCAGCAAGUACACUUAAUGUGUUUAACAAGUAAAAGAGGCUCAGUCAGAAUGUUGAUAGUUGGUGGUAUAUAUGAAAAUGCUUUGUAAAUUCUGAAGUGCUAAAAAAUUAGGUGUCUUUAGUAAUCAACAAAUGCUUCCUAAGAAUGUCUGGUAGUUCUGAAGUUAGUAACCUUGAUCUUUACCCUUAAGAGAUUUCAGCCUAAUGGUUUACAAUAUAAUAGGGGGUCAUUUGUUUCCAGUUAAGUAUGUCUUAUGAAUAGUCUAGCAGUAAUUGCGGUCACCUUGUAGGCCAGACAACCAGAUAGUGUUAUAGGCUGCAGGGAAGCCAAGGGGGUUAAUGAUCAGCAGUAAUUACGACACAAGUUAAAAGUCAAAUUGCCUGCUCUGAUUUUUAAGGGCUCUCACACAGAGAGAAGCUAAGGAACCAGAUAACCAAAGGUCACUUCUGAAUUUCAAGUAGAUUUGGGGCUCCCUUUCAGGUGUCCUGGGUUAGAUUAAGAAGAGAGUAGAAAGUCUAAGAUGAUUCCCAUCUAAUUAAUUUCAUUCUGUGGCAACCAGUGCACAAGGCCGGUGUUGCCCCAAUAGCACAAGUGAAUGUCUGAAGCACUCAGAUCAAUAAGCGACAAGAAAUUGCAGGAAAGCAACCUCUGCAACUGUAGGCAUGUCUUUUCAUUUGGAAAUAUAAUUUGAGGUUGAUAACAAAGAGAGUUAAUCUCUGCGGGGACUGAGGUCAGCAUUAUCUGCAUUUUACAGAUAAACAUCCCUCCCUCUGUGGGCUGUAUUGCACAUUUUUUCCUCCUCAAAGUUUUCUCCAACAUCAUAUCACAUGAGCUUGGUGAUAAUGUAAAAUAGGAUUGGUUUUGUCUGUUUUGGAACUGAAGACUUUGAUACCGAGAGGUGAGCCUUAUCCAAGAUUACACACAGCAGUGAGGGUCAGAGCUGGGCCAGGAGCCCAGCAAUCCUACUUGUCUUCAGGUGCUGCCUCUACUCCCAUGGUAGCUGGUGAUUCAUAUUACAAAGAGAUUCAUAGAAGAACUCAUUAAAAACAGCAAGGACAUCAGAUAUAAAGCUUUGAUUUGUGGAGAAUUAUUGAACACACAUUGUAGUAAUUAUUAAGUCAUACAGCUUUCUCACUUUUCUAAACAGGUUACCCAUUCUCUAAGGAUUCCUUACCAUUUCCCUCACUAUUGCCAGGAUUGUCUGAGGUUGCUAAUUGAAAUAAUCUGAGAACUUGCAUUUGGCUGUUUUAUCCUAGUGUUCAGAUAUAAACUGCUGACAACUGUUAUACUAGCUCAAACCAACACUACUUAUGGUUGUGAAAAAAACAAAAAAAACCGCCAUGUGCUCUGUUAGCCCUAUGUAGUUCGGCUCCCUUCAGAAAGUUCCUUUCAGCAAGUUAGUUCGGCUCCCUUCAGAAAGUUCCCUUCAGAAAGUUAGUUAGGCUCCCUUCAGAAAGUUAAAGUAGUUUCCCUUCAGAAUAUAUAUUAGUUCCCUUUAGAAAGUUUCCAUUCUAUGGUCUUUGAUUAGUUAUGGCCCUUAGUGAAGUUCACUUUUAACCUAAAAUCCUUUAUAAUAAGCAGGAAACAAGUGUUAGAGUAAAAAGAACUGCUAACAACUUGAAUUUUUGCAGGAGCUUUGGGACCCAGCCUAUGUGAGCAAGCCAGAGAAAGAAAUGCGAUGCUUCCCUUGAAGACCAGAUCACUACAAGGAGUCUGCAAUCUGCCUUCACGCAUUAAUCUGAAAGCCUCCAACUACCCCUCCCUACCCCUUUUUUCUUAGCAUAAAAUUAAGAAUUCUACCCCAGUUGAGAUAGUUCUUUAGGAUAUUUGCCCAUCAUCUUCUUGGCUUGCUGGCUUUCUGAAUAAAGUCACCACUCCUUGGCUGAACACCUUUCUCCCAGCUUAUUGGCCUGUCAUGCAGCAGGUGAGUUGUACAAGCUUAGGCUCAGUAAGAAUUUACUGAGAAAUUCAGAGAAUUUGCAGAGAAAAUUCAGAGAGACUGUUUUACUUCUUUCGUAAGCCUCUGAGGCAAUGCUUCUGACAAACUUUUUAGGUCUACCUCUCCAUCAUUCCUUUGUACCAGUAAUCAGGCUUCUAUUACCCCAUUCUUUCCCUCUUGCAGAUACCUCUCUGACAGAUUACUCUUGGAGGACUUUAGAUUCCAUUUAGGAGCUGACAAUAGCACUCUGUUUGGAGAGCACCUAUUAUGGAACCAGAUCUGUUUUGCCCUAAACUAAACACUGCAAGCCAAGAUUCUGAGAUGCCUAGAUUUGAUGAAAAGAGAGUUAUCUACAGCAAGCCAGCCAAGCAAGAAAACAGAAGAACAAAUCCCCCUCCCGGAAGGCAAGGGGCAGGGGUAUUUAUGGGAUGAGGAAUGAAGACGCAGGGUGGACUGGGGCGUGGGGUACGUAAGGAAAGUUGAUUGGAGAAAGGUGCAGUGGUUUUAGUUCUGCGCAGGCGUAACUAGACACAGCUGAUUCCAAGUUCCUGGAAAACAACUCUGGCAAACAUCUUAUUGUUUAGGCUACAUGCUGCUUGGAGAACCUACAAGUCUUAAACCAGCCUUGAUUAGUGAAGGCAGGUGAAAUGGAUUUGACCCACAAUUUCACACCCAGAUGCCUAGAUGUGGCCCGAGGGCUGUGCACCGGCCUUCACACCUGUUAUAGCAGCAAGAAUGUGGAGCAGAAGGACUAAGGGCUGACUUCCUGCUGUGAGAUUCUGCAGGCAACUCCACUGGCAUUUUUGUGUUCUGAGUGCGUCAUUUCUCAGCUAUGAUGAAAUGUAGUCCCAGCAAAAGACUGGUUAUCGCUAUGGAGCAAAAGAUACAAGCAAGGCGCCUAGAGUAUGUGCUCCCUGCUCAUAAUCCAGCAGAAAUCCUUGCCUUAGGUUGAAUACCAUAACAAUUUAGGGCUCAGCCCUUGGAGUCAGAUGGCCAGUACUCCAAUUCUGCUGUGGAGUUUCAGGCCAUCUUCCCUGAGUUUGCCUUCUUCCUUCUCAACCAGGAUUAGCAGGACACUGGGCUUUCCGCAUAGCUGUUGGUCCCAACUGCCCCUCUCCAUGACUCUGGACGGCCCGCAUCGGUCUUCCUCUGUGGGAUUCAUUCUCUCCCUCUUUGUUGAUACAGUCCCUCAUUUUGCCGGAGCACCUGCUCCAGCCGUGUCCUAAGAAAAAAUAAGUGUGAAAUAAAAUUUUUCAGUCCUUGGUUAUCUUUUCUUUUCCCACAUUUGAUUUGGCUUGAUACUUUCCCCAUAAGAAUUUUGGAGCUUUUCUCUUUUCACUUUUAGCUUUCAGUGUUAAGUAUUAAGAAGCUCGAUUCUGUAUUGAUCUCCAUUUUCUCCCCCUUUCAGAAGAUUACAAAAUUUUCAGCACGUGCUCUAAGGCCUAGGCAGAUGCAGGGCCUGUGUCCUCACAUGAGGAAGGGGCGAGGGAACUCAGAGGGCUCUUCAUCAGGUCACCGAUCCCAUUCAUGAAGGCUCUGCCCUCAUGACCUAAUCGCCUCCCCAAGACACCGUCGCCUCAAAUAUCACCACACUGGGGUUUGGAUUUCGCCAUAUAUUUUGAGGGAGGAACACAAACAUUCCAUCUAUAGCCUAUCUGGAACCUUUUUCAGAGUUAAGAAUGAAAGCAGAAUCUUUCUUUCUCUUCUAUUAGCAUGCACAGCCUUCCAAAGUCAUGUAUUUUUCUA